UUGACAUUCUGAACGUGAAGGCAUACUUUCAGGAGUGAGGGUAGAGCGGGGUUUCCCCCGCCCUGGUAGUCUUAGUAUGCUGGGUAGCUAAUCACUAAGAAGCACCACGAUGAUGAGUAUCUUCAUCAUGACCCUUUCCUUAUU
rnacentral:sRNA from 23 species